UUUAAAGAAAGCGUAAUAGCUCACUGGUCGAGUCGGCCUGCGCGGAAGAUGUAACGGGGCUAAGUAGUAAACCGAAGCUGCGGCAAUGUGCUUUUGCACAUUGGGUAGGGGAGCGUUCUGUAAGCGGUUGAAGGUGUGUGGUAACGCAUGCUGGACGUAUCAGAAGUGCGAAUGCUGACAUGAGUAACGAUAAAGGGGGUGAAAAACCUCCAAGCAGGAAGACCAAGGAUUCCUGUCCAACGUUGAACGGGGCAGGGUAAGUCGACCCCUAAGGCGAGGCCGAAAGGCGUAGUCGAUGGGAAACGGGUUAAUAUUCCCGUACUUCUUACAAUUGCGAUGGGGGGACGGAGAAGGCUAGGUGGGCCUGGCGACGGUUGUCCAGGUUCAAGUGCGUAGGCUUGAGAGUUAGGUAAAUCCGGCUCUCUUUAAGGCUGAGACACGACGUCGAGCCACUACGGUGGUGAAGUCAUUGAUGCCAUGCUUCCAGGAAAAGCCUCUAAGCUUC
rnacentral:rRNA from 1 species